rnacentral:rRNA from 1 species
AUUGAACGCUGGCGGUAGGCCUAACACAUGCAAGUCGAACGGCAGCACAGUAAGAGCUUGCUCUUACGGGUGGCGAGUGGCGGACGGGUGAGGAAUACAUCGGAAUCUACUUUUUCGGGGGGGAUAACGUAGGGAAACUUACGCUAAUACCGCAUACUACCUACGGGUGAAAGCAGGGGAUCUUCGGACCUUGCGCGAUUGAAUGAGCCGAUGUCGGAUUAGCUAGUUGGCGGGGUAAAGGCCCACCAAGGCGACGAUCCGUAGCUGGUCUGAGAGGAUGAUCAGCCACACUGGAACUGAGACACGGUCCAGACUCCUACGGGAGGCAGCAGUGGGGAAUAUUGGACAAUGGGCGCAAGCCUGAUCCAGCCAUACCGCGUGGGUGAAGAAGGCCUUCGGGUUGUAAAGCACUUUUGUUGGGAAAGAAAAGCAGCAGGUUAAUACCCCGCUGUUCUGACGGUACCCAAAGAAUAAGCACCGGCUAACUUCGUG